AGUUAUUUUGCAGGAGGCUUCUCAGGGAUGAAGGCAAGCUGGCGUCUAGCUGAUCAGCUGGUUGGUGAGGACUCUUCACGAAGUCAGGGACCAUUGUGAAGAUGGAAGAAUGCCCACAAAAUCCAGCUUGAAACCUGCUGGCUCUGAGGGUCCUGCUGGCUCAGCAGUGCUGUGUUUCUUCUGUCCUAACCAGAAAGUUACCCUUCUAUUUGCGGAGAGAUAUUGCCUAUCGGCCUGGACCAGCAGAUAACUCAGCACUCAUGAUCAGCUGUCAAGCUAUAACAGAGUGUUGAGGCAGUCCCUGAAACCACAGCGCCAUUUUGUAGGAACUGAGAAGCCAACCUCAAGGAAAUCACUCACCCCAAGAAGACUUUUGUUCGGAGCUGAUGUGUUUCUAGCCUGAUGGAGCCCCAGCUAUCCAAAAGAAGAGCUGUUAAGAUGAUUGGAACUUUGGUUUUUCCGAUUCACUCUCUUUUUUCUCUCCAGCCGUCUGCCUUAGACAGCAGGAGAAAAGGAAACACAGCCUCAGAGGUGGGGUCCUUCGGAAGGACUGACAGUGGGGUAGCUACCCUGCGGCUGAGAGCCUGAGUGGGGGCUGAGUGCCUUUGGCUCCUUGUCCAGAGCUCAGCUUUACCACAGAGGUUACCUGCUUACCAUCAACAUUGAAACUUGCCUCUUCCCCUGGGUGUAUUCUCCCUCUUUUGUGUACAGUUUGGUUCCUCCAAACUGCUCUCCCUGUGAAGAAAGCCGAUGGAAUUCAGGGAGCCUGGCCAGCCACCCAGGCCUUUAUAAAGGUCCUCGUACCACAGGAUGUAUGGGAGACCCAAUAAAGACUUUUGCAAAAUGCU
rnacentral:lncRNA from 1 species